rnacentral:rRNA from 1 species
UACGAAGGGGGCUAGCGUUGCUCGGAAUGACUGGGCGUAAAGGGCGCGUAGGCGGUUUGUACAGUCAGGUGUGAAAUUCCCGGGCUCAACCUGGGGGCGGCACUUGAGGCGUAGGAACUGGAGUGAGGAAGAGGGUCGUGGAAUUCCCAGUGUAGAGGUGAAAUUCGUAGAUAUCGAGAGGAAUACCUGUGGCGAAGGCGGCCAACUGGACGAGUACUGACACUGAGACACGAAAGCGUGGGGAGCAAACAGG